rnacentral:rRNA from 1 species
GGUUAAGCGACUAAGCGUACACGGUGGAUGCCCUGGCAGUCAGAGGCGAUGAAGGACGUGCUAAUCUGCGAAAAGCGUCGGUAAGGUGAUAUGAACCGUUACAGCCGGCGAUGUCCGAAUGGGGAAACCCAGUGCAAUUCGUUGCACUAUCGUUAACUGAAUACAUAGGUUAACGAGGCGAACCGGGGGAACUGAAACAUCUAAGUACCCCGAGGAAAAGAAAUCAACCGAGAUUCCCCCAGUAGCGGCGAGCGAACGGGGAGCAGCCCAGAGUCUGAAUCAGCUUGUGUGUUAGUGGAACGGUCUGGAAAGUCCGACGGUACAGGGUGAUAGUCCCGUACACCAAAAUGCACAGGCUGUGAACUCGAAGAGUAGGGCGGGACACGUGGUAUCCUGUCUGAAUAUGGGGGGACCAUCCUCCAAGGCUAAAUACUCCUGACUGACCGAUAGUGAACCAGUACCGUGAGGGAAAGGCGAAAAGAACCCCGGCGAGGGGAGUGAAAAAGAACCUGAAACCGUGUACGUACAAGCAGUGGGAGCACCUUCGGGUGUGACUGCGUACCUUUUGUAUAAUGGGUCAGCGACUUAUAUUCUGUAGCAAGGUUAACCGUAUAGGGGAGCCGCAGGGAAACCGAGUCUUAACUGGGCGUUAAGUUGCAGGGUAUAGACCCGAAACCCGGUGAUCUAGCCAUGGGCAGGUUGAAGGUUGGGUAACACUAACUGGAGGACCGAACCGACUAAUGUUGAAAAAUUAGCGGAUGACUUGUGGCUGGGGGUGAAAGGCCAAUCAAACCGGGAGAUAGCUGGUUCUCCCCGAAAGCUAUUUAGGUAGCGCCUCGUGAACUCAUCUUCGGGGGUAGAGCACUGUUUCGGCUAGGGGGUCAUCCCGACUUACCAACCCGAUGCAAACUACGAAUACCGAAGAAUGUUAUCACGGGAGACACACGGCGGGUGCUAACGUCCGUCGUGAAGAGGGAAACAACCCAGACCGCCAGCUAAGGUCCCAAAGUCAUGGUUAAGUGGGAAACGAUGUGGGAAGGCACAGACAGCCAGGAUGUUGGCUUAGAAGCAGCCAUCAUUUAAAGAAAGCGUAAUAGCUCACUGGUCGAGUCGGCCUGCGCGGAAGAUGUAACGGGGCUAAACCAUGCACCGAAGCUGCGGCAGCGACACGAUGUGUUGUUGGGUAGGGGAGCGUUCUGUAAGCCUGCGAAGGUGACCUGUGAGGGUUGCUGGAGGUAUCAGAAGUGCGAAUGCUGACAUAAGUAACGAUAAAGCGGGUGAAAAGCCCGCUCGCCGGAAGACCAAGGGUUCCUGUCCAACGUUAAUCGGGGCAGGGUGAGUCGACCCCUAAGGCGAGGCCGAAAGGCGUAGUCGAUGGGAAACAGGUUAAUAUUCCUGUACUUGGUGUUACUGCGAAGGGGGGACGGAGAAGGCUAUGUUAGCCGGGCGACGGUUGUCCCGGUUUAAGCAUGUAGGCUGGUUAUCCAGGCAAAUCCGGAUAAUCAAGGCUGAGGUGUGAUGACGAGGCACUACGGUGCUGAAGUAACAAAUGCCCUGCUUCCAGGAAAAGCCUCUAAGCAUCAGGUAACAUCAAAUCGUACCCCAAACCGACACAGGUGGUCAGGUAGAGAAUACCAAGGCGCUUGAGAGAACUCGGGUGAAGGAACUAGGCAAAAUGGUGCCGUAACUUCGGGAGAAGGCACGCUGGUGUGUAGGUGAAGUCCCUGCGGAUGGAGCUGAGACCAGUCGAAGAUACCAGCUGGCUGCAACUGUUUAUUAAAAACACAGCACUGUGCAAACACGAAAGUGGACGUAUACGGUGUGACGCCUGCCCGGUGCCGGAAGGUUAAUUGAUGGGGUUAUCCGUAAGGAGAAGCUCUUGAUCGAAGCCCCGGUAAACGGCGGCCGUAACUAUAACGGUCCUAAGGUAGCGAAAUUCCUUGUCGGGUAAGUUCCGACCUGCACGAAUGGCGUAAUGAUGGCCAGGCUGUCUCCACCCGAGACUCAGUGAAAUUGAACUCGCUGUGAAGAUGCAGUGUACCCGCGGCAAGACGGAAAGACCCCGUGAACCUUUACUAUAGCUUGACACUGAACAUUGAGCCUUGAUGUGUAGGAUAGGUGGGAGGCUUUGAAGCGUGGACGCCAGUCUGCGUGGAGCCAACCUUGAAAUACCACCCUUUAAUGUUUGAUGUUCUAACGUUGGCCCCUGACCGGGGUUGCGGACAGUGUCUGGUGGGUAGUUUGACUGGGGCGGUCUCCUCCCAAAGCGUAACGGAGGAGCACGAAGGUUAGCUAAUCCUGGUCGGACAUCAGGAGGUUAGUGCAAUGGCAUAAGCUAGCUUGACUGCGAGCGUGACGGCGCGAGCAGGUGCGAAAGCAGGUCAUAGUGAUCCGGUGGUUCUGAAUGGAAGGGCCAUCGCUCAACGGAUAAAAGGUACUCCGGGGAUAACAGGCUGAUACCGCCCAAGAGUUCAUAUCGACGGCGGUGUUUGGCACCUCGAUGUCGGCUCAUCACAUCCUGGGGCUGAAGUAGGUCCCAAGGGUAUGGCUGUUCGCCAUUUAAAGUGGUACGCGAGCUGGGUUUAGAACGUCGUGAGACAGUUCGGUCCCUAUCUGCCGUGGGCGCUGGAGAAUUGAGGGGGGCUGCUCCUAGUACGAGAGGACCGGAGUGGACGCAUCACUGGUGUUCGGGUUGUCAUGCCAAUGGCACUGCCCGGUAGCUAAAUGCGGAAGAGAUAAGUGCUGAAAGCAUCUAAGCACGAAACUUGCCCCGAGAUGAGUUCUCCCUGAGACUUUAAGUCUCCUGAAGGAACGUUAAAGACGAUGACGUUGAUAGGCCGGGUGUGUAAGCGCAGCGAUGCGUUGAGCUAACCGGUACUAAUGAACCGUGAGGCUUAACCUU